rnacentral:tRNA from 1 species
GAGAUAUUAGUAAAGUAAUUACAUAACUUUGUCAAAGUUAACUCAUAGGUUGAACUCCUAUAUAUCUCC